rnacentral:lncRNA from 1 species
GGUAUCGUUCGAAUUAUGUGUCAUCUAAAUCAUAUUUCCAAAUUAAUCAUUUUUCAUAUUUCAUGGCACAUUCAAAACAUAGCAUACAUUUAUCCGUAAAAAAUUAUCAUUUUAAUAAUUCAAACAAUACAUACUUUCAUCGUAAAACUCAUUUUAAGUAAGUAAAAUAUAACAAGACUCACCGAGAGUAUGUCCAAAUCUUCGCACACACCGU